ensembl:lncRNA
CCCACACUCUGCUCCUCCCUCUUUCCUACACGGGUAUUUUGGUUUUGUUAGUUUGAGAGACAUUAUAUACAGACACCACAGAAGUACCUAGAGAAAAGGCGGUUUUCAGGUACCAUUAACACAAGGGCACACAUUUACACAGUCUAUUUUCUCGUUAACGCUAAUGAGGCUGCCUAUCAUUACUUGUAAGGAUGGUAAGGGACAGAGAGGUCUAUAGAAGACAUACCACCUUGAGCCCUUCUAAUUCUGUGGUUCUCAAACUCUAUGGCCUGACCCUCUUUAAUCACCUAAAAACCACAGCCUCGGCCCACCCCUCAAGGAGUUUUUGUUCAUGUGGUUAUAGCUCUUGAUAACGGCCGUAAUGGCCAUAUCAGAAAUCAUGAUGAAGUUGGUGGUGGUGAUACCUCUGAGACUGCAGGUAUCUAUUUUGUAUUUCUGUACCUGUGUUCGUGCUGGUCCUUACCCUACUAACUGAUACUGCAAGGUGAAGAGGACAAGGACGAUCUGGGACCAAAGGGUUCAUGGGCAGGCCUGUAGUCCUGGGGGACUGUGAGGAGGGAGACAAACAGAACUAAGUGGUCAUGUUUAGGUGAAGCUCUGCAGCAAGGUCUGAACUCCAGAGUCAGGACCUCUCGUGUGCCCUCCAUCAGGCAGGGUCAUUUUUAUUCCAGAAUCCCCAGGUACCUUCAGGGUCAAUCAGCUGGCUCUGCAGUCAGAGGGCCUCUGUCACCCACAAGGGGUGACCUGCCUCUGUUUCCUCCUCUGUGUGUUCCUAGACCGGGGAGUUCCCAAAUUCCUGCCCUGCUCUCCAGACCGCCGAAGCAGCCUCAGAGCACAAGGCACAGCAUUUCCCGAGGGCCCCGGCGAUGCUGGGCAAGCUCCAAAAGCUCAUUCUAGAAGAGAGCAACAGCUCCUCACCCUUCCACCCUUAUUUAACCUGUUCCGUGGCCUGGCUGUGCCCCCAGCAGGGCCUAAAGCCAGCAAGUGAGGUGCUUGUGUUGGCUCACCCUGGCUCUGGCAAGUCAGCAGCCCUCCCCCAGCCUGCUCCAGCCCAGACUCGCCUCCUGCUCCAGCACUGACUUUCAGGUUCUUGAACAGCAAAGGCUCUACGUACCCUGGGGGCAUGGAAAAAAAGUACCCAGCACAGGCAACCGCGGCAGGCUCCUGCGCACCCCUGCGGGCAGGGGGUGCCCAAGGGAGGGGCAGCACCCUCAGCUCCCUCUCCCACACCCUGUUCCUGGGAGCUGGCCCAGCCUGCCUCCCUCCACCUGCUCUGACAGCUCCAGCUUCCUUUCCGCUGCCAGGGCACCCUGAUAAGAACACAGGGCACACCUGCUCCUCCCGGCGAGCAUGGCACUGCCCACACUCCAGCCUAUCUCAGGUUGGGGGCGGGGGGAGAUUUUUACAACAGUAAAUUACAACAGUAAUACUGGAAGAAGAAUGGGGUGGGAGGGGGAGAGCCUUGGUCUCGCGUCAUAACCCAGCCCCCAGAGCAUCGGGAACUCGGCCCAAAGUUGGGGAGCCACUGGACCGAAUCCUGGCGCCUCUAGCUACUCUGGGCCUGAGAGCAGGCUGACCCUAGGGAGGAAGGGAAAGCCUUUGGGAAGCGAGAGUAGCCAACGCAAGGUCGCAGCAGGGGCGGCCCCGGUCCGGUCCUCGGGGUCAGGCCCACAGAGGCGUUUUGCAAUAGCAGGGGUUCCUCACACAACAAACGGCGCCUGGCACUGUGCUUGCUGUUGACGAUAUCCAACAGAAAGGAAGCAGCCCCUGCCCUCAAGAAGCUUGAAAAUGAAUGGGGAAAGACAAUAAUAAUAGAACCUAGCUCCCAAAGUCGGAGCGAGGAUCAAAUGAGAGGAUUAUUCCCCAAAAGAAUGUAAGCUCCAUGAAGGCAGGAUUUGGUUCCUUUUUAUCUUCAUGUUCCCGGGCCCCAGCACAGAACGGAUGCUUCACAAAUAUUUGUUGAAUGAAAUGGAAGAACAAUGGGGAAAUGGAAAUAUGAAGGCUUGUGUGGUGAGGAACACCACUGACCAGAUUUUCCUCACUCUAGGAGCCACGGUACUACCUCCUUAUGUGGGAUGACAGAUUUAGGGGAGAGAGGUGUUUCCGAGAUUAUCAGUCCAAGUCCCUAGUUUUUAAGAUGAAGAAGGACCUGGGAAGUAAAGCAAUUUGCUCAGAAUCACACAACUAAAUAUGUGGCAGAGUGGAGACAUGAACCUCCUUUCCAAAGC